UACAGAGGGGGCAAGCGUUGUUCGGAAUUACUGGGCGUAAAGGGCGCGUAGGCGGCCAACUAAGUCGGAUGUGAAAUCCCCAAGCUUAACUUGGGAACUGCAUCCGAUACUGGAUGGCUUGAAUCCGGGAGAGGGAUGCAGAAUUCCAGGUGUAGCGGUGAAAUGCGUAGAUAUCUGGAGGAAUACCGGUGGCGAAGGCGGCAUCCUGGACCGAUACUGACGCUGAGGAGCGAAAGCCAGGGGAGCAAAGCGGG
rnacentral:rRNA from 1 species